rnacentral:rRNA from 1 species
GACGAACGCUGGCGGCGUGCUUAACACAUGCAAGUCGAACGGUGAAGCCUUUCGGGGUGGAUCAGUGGCGAACGGGUGAGUAACACGUGGGCAAUCUGCCCUGCACUCUGGGACAAGCCCUGGAAACGGGGUCUAAUACCGGAUAUGACUUCCUGCCGCAUGGUGGGGGGUGGAAAGCUCUGGUGGUGCAGGAUGAGCCCGCGGCCUAUCAGCUUGUUGGUGGGGUGAUGGCCUACCAAGGCGACGACGGGUAGCCGGCCUGAGAGGGCGACCGGCCACACUGGGACUGAGACACGGCCCAGACUCCUACGGGAGGCAGCAGUGGGGAAUAUUGCACAAUGGGCGGAAGCCUGAUGCAGCGACGCCGCGUGGGGGAUGACGGCCUUCGGGUUGUAAACCUCUUUCAGCAGGGAAGAAGCGUGAGUGACGGUACCUGCAGAAGAAGCACCGGCUAACUACGUGCCAGCCGCCGCAGUAA